rnacentral:rRNA from 1 species
GUUUGAUCCUGGCUCAGGAUGAACGCUAGCGGCAGGCCUAACACAUGCAAGUCGAGGGGCAGCGCGGGUGGCAACACCUGGCGGCGACCGGCGCACGGGUGCGUAACGCGUAUGGAACCUGCCCCCCGCUGGGGGAUAGCCCGUCGAAAGGCGGAUUAAUACCCCAUGGCCUCCCGGGACCGCAUGGUCCUGGGGGUAAAGCUUCGGCGGCGGGGGAUGGCCAUGCGUGCCAUUAGCUGGUUGGCGGGGUAACGGCCCACCAAGGCGACGAUGGCUAGGGGGUCUGAGAGGAUGGUCCCCCACACUGGUACUGAGACACGGACCAGACUCCUACGGGAGGCAGCAGUGAGGAAUAUUGGUCAAUGGGCGGAAGCCUGAACCAGCCAUGCCGCGUGCAGGAUGACGGCCCUACGGGUUGUAAACUGCUUUUGCGCGGGAAGAAUAACCCCCUCGCGAGGGGGGAUGCCGGUACCGUGCGAAUAAGGAUCGGCUAACUCCGUGCCAGCAGCCGCGGUAAUACGGAGGAUCCGAGCGUUAUCCGGAUUUACUGGGUUUAAAGGGUGCGUAGGCGGGCGCCUAAGUCAGCGGUGAAAGGCAGCGGCUCAACCGUUGAACUGCCGUUGNNCUGGGCGCCUUGGAUUCGGUCGGGGCCGGCGGAAUGCGUGGUGUAGCGGUGAAAUGCUUAGAUAUCACGCGGAACGCCGAUCGCGAAGGCAGCUGGCCAGGCCGAGAUCGACGCUGANGCACGAAAGCGUGGGGAUCAAACAGGAUUAGAUACCCUNNAGUCCACGCCGUAAACGAUG